CCAGUCAGACAGCUCUGGGGAAGACACUGGCGUGGGAUCAUCAAGAAGACGGCUUGGGAAACCCAAUAGGGAAAAGAGUUUCUGAGCCAUAGACCAGCAGAGUAUCUGGUGCUAGAGCCUGGAGAAGGAGGCAGGAGAUGGGAGCCUGUAGCCUCUCAGGUAUGAGAAGAUGUGUAUGUUCUUCCUGGGUCAAGGGAUCAUGCUGGGAAGUGGGACUCGAGCUGCUCUGCCAUUAUCCCCAGGUGGGCACUGUGGUUAUUCCCAUUUUGCUGAUAAAGACAGCGAAGCUUGGAGAAGGGAAGAAGCUUGCACCAGGCUGUGAUGGAGGGGCCUGGAUACAAACCCUAGCAGGCUGAUGUCAGGCUCCCACAGUCAAUCAUCAGGCCACGUGGCUGCCAUGAGCAUUCCUUCAUGGAAGCAGGAACUUUACCUCAUGUGUUUCCCUGGCCUCAUAGUCAAAAUACCCUGUGGCUCAUCCCCAGCUCCCCAAAGGCUGUUGUGUGACUUGGUGUCUUCUCUGAGGAUCCCCUGGUGGGAAAGCCAACACUCGCUCUCCUCACUGUCCCAGGACUCCCUCCACCCAUGAUUCAUCCCUCAUGACUCAAGCCAUCUCAGAUUCUCCAGGAAGUCUUCCCUCAGCUGUCUGGUCCUCAACGAUAUCAUCUGCUCUUUUGAAAACCUGUAGCACCCAAUGAUUAUAUCACUUGGUUCUCAUCUAAUAUAUAUUUUCUGCUACAACU
rnacentral:lncRNA from 12 species